rnacentral:pre_miRNA from 1 species
CGUGCUUGAGUGCUGAGUGUGUGUGUGUGUGUGUGUGUGUGUGCGCGCGCGCGCCCGCGCCGAUGUGUGCAUGCACA